AGGAGGAACAACCCCGGUGGCGGGGCCAGCUCUGGAAACCUGGAGUCAGCCCCCGCAGUAGCUCCGGAGCUCUCAGUCUGCAGGACCUGGAGGCUCCCGGCGGGG
rfam:Canis lupus familiaris chromosome 23, whole genome shotgun sequence.